rnacentral:rRNA from 1 species
UUGGAGGGCAAGUCUGGUGCCAGCAGCCGCGGUAAUUCCAGCUCCAAUAGCGUAUAUUAAAGUUGUUGCAGUUAAAAAGCUCGUAGUUGAAUUUCGGGGUUAGUAGGUUGGUCAUGCCUCUGGUAUGUACUGGUCUCACUGAUUCCUCCUUCCCGAUGAACCGUAAUGCCAUUAAUUUGGUGUUGCGGGGAAUUUGGACUGUUACUUUGAAAAAAUUAGAGUGUUUAAAGCAAGCUAACGCUUGAAUACAUUAGCAUGGAAUAAUGAAAUAGGACGUUCGAUCCUAUUUUGUUGGUUUCUAGGAUUGACGUAAUGAUUAAUAGGGAUAGUUGGGGGCAUUAGUAUUCAAUUGUCAGAGGUGAAAUUCUUGGAUUUAUUGAAGACUAACUACUGCGAAAGCAUUUGCCAAGGAUGUUUUCAUUAAUCAAGAACGAAAGUUAGGGGAUCGAAGACGAUCAGAUACCGUCGUAGUCUUAACCAUAAACUAUGCCGACUAGGGAUCGGAUGAUGUUAAUUUUUUAAUGACUCAUUCGGCGCCUUACGGGAAAC